GACGAACGCUGGCGGCGUGCUUAACACAUGCAAGUCGAACGAAGUGGCGAACGGGUGAGUAACGCGUAAUCAACCUGCCCUUCAGCGGGGGACAACAGUUGGAAACGACUGCUAAUACCGCAUACUUAAGCAGGGGAUGGCGUCUGAUUAGCUAGUUGUAGGGGGAACGUCCCACCAAGGCGAUGAUCAGUAGCCGGUCGGAGAGGAUGAACGGCUACAUUGGGACGGAGACCCGGCCCAGAGUCCUACGGGAGGCAGCAGUGGGGAAUCUUCCGCAAUGGACGAAAGUCUGACGGCGCAACGCCGCGUGAGUGAUGACGGCCUUCGGGUUGUAAAGCUCUGUUAAUCGGGACGCGGUACCGGAAUAGAAAGCCACGGCUAACUACGUGCCAGCAGCCGCGGUAAUUC
rnacentral:rRNA from 1 species